rnacentral:rRNA from 1 species
AGUGGAUGGGGAGCAACCUAGUUGUGCGUGUGUAAAGGUAGUGCCAAGAAAAGCGGUGAUCAUGAUGAAAAUCAAUUCCCGGUACCCGAAACCGACACAGGUGGGCAAGUAGAGAAUACUAAGGGGCGCGAGGUAACUCUCUCCAAGGAACUCGGCAAAAUGACCCCGUAACUUAGGGAGAAGGGGUGCCACCGAGAGGUGGUCGCAGUGAAGAGGCCCAGGCGACUGCUUAGCAAAAACAUAGGUCUCUGCAAACUCGAAAGAGGAGGUAUAGGGGCUGACGCCUGCCCAGUGCCGGAAGGUUAAAGAAGUUGGUCAGUCUUAGGAUAAAGCUAGCGACUGAAGCCCCGGUGAACGGCGGCCGUAACUAUAACGGUCCUAAGGUAGCGAAAUUCCUUGUCGGGUAAGUUCCGACCCGCACGAAAGGCGUAACGAUCUGGGCGCUGUCUCGGAGAGAGGCUCGGCGAAAUAGGAUUGUCUGUGAAGAUACGGACUACCUGCAUUUGGACAGAAAGACCCUAUGAAGCUUUACUAUAGCUUGGAAUUGUGUUCGGGCUUCCUGUGCGCAGGAUAGGUGGGAGGCGAAGAAGGUAUUCUUGUGGGGAUACUAGAGCCAACGGUGAGAUACCACUCUCAGGAGGCUAGAAUUCUAACUUAAUUAAGGACAGUUUCAGGUGGGUAGUUUGAUUGGGGCGGUCGCCUCCAAAAAGGUAACGGAGGCGUACAAAGGUUCCCUCAGACUGGUUGGAAAUCAGUCGCAGAGUGCAAAGGCAGAAGGGAGCUUGACUGCGAGAAGUACAGUUCGAGCAGGGUGGAAACACGGUCUUAGUGAUCCGACGGUGCUGUGUGGAAGGGCCGUCGCUCAACGGACAAAAGUUACUCUAGGAUAACAGGCUGAUCUCCCCCAAGAGUUCACAUCGACGGGGAGGUUUGGCACCUCGAUGUCGGCUCACCGCAACCUGGGGCGGAAGUACGUCCCAAGGGUUGGGCUGUUCGCCCAUUAAAGCGGUACGUGAGCUGGGUUCAGAACGUCGUGAGACAGUUCGGUCCAUAUCCGAUGUAGGCGUGAGAAUAUUGAGAGGAGCCUUCCUUAGUACGAGAGGACCGGGAAGGACGCACCGCUGGUGUACCUGUUAUGAUGCCAAUUGUAAACGCAGGGUAGCCAAGUGCGGAGAGGAUAACCGCUGAAAGCAUCUAAGUGGGAAGCCCACCUCAAGAUGAGUAUUCUGGUGUAAGGUCACGGGAAGACGACCCGUAAAUAGGCACGAGGUGGAAGUGCAGAGAUGUAUGAAGCCGAAGUGUACUAAUAGACCGUCGGCUUGACC